rnacentral:rRNA from 1 species
UACGUAGGGUGCGAGCGUUGUCCGGAAUUAUUGGGCGUAAAGAGCUUGUAGGCGGUUUGUCGCGUCUGCUGUGAAAAUCCGGGGCUCAACCCCGGACUUGCAGUGGGUACGGGCAGACUAGAGUGUGGUAGGGGAGACUGGAAUUCCUGGUGUAGCGGUGAAAUGCGCAGAUAUCAGGAGGAACACCGAUGGCGAAGGCAGGUCUCUGGGCAUUAACUGACGCUGAGGAGCGAAAGCGUGGGGAGCGAACAGG